rnacentral:rRNA from 1 species
AUUGAACGCUGGCGGUAUGCUUAACACAUGCAAGUCGAGCGGUAACAGACCUUCGGGUGCUGACGAGCGGCGGACGGGUGAGUAACGCGUGGGAAUCUGCCCUUUGGUGGGGGAUAACCU